GAAUAUUGGUCAAUGGGCGAAAGCCUGAACCAGCCAUGCCGCGUGAAGGAUGACUGCCCUCAGGGUUGUAAACUUCUUUUAUAUGGGGAGAAACCACUGGAGUUACUCCGGGGCUGACGGUACCAUAUGAAUAAGCCCCGGCUAACUCCGUACCAGCAGCCGCGGUAAUACGGAGGGUGCAAGCGUUAUACGGAUUCACUGGGUUUAAAGGGUGCGUAGGCGGGAUAUUAAGUCAGAGGUGAAAGCCCCGAGCUCAACUUGGGAACUGCCUUUGAUACUGAUAUUCUUGAAUAUAGUUGAGGCAGGCGGAAUACAACAUGUAGCGGUGAAAUGCUUAGAUAUGUUGUAGAACACCAAUUGCGAAGGCAGCUUGCUAAACUAUUAUUGACGCUGAGGCACGAAAGCGUGGGGAGCGAACAGG
rnacentral:rRNA from 1 species